GUCCAGAUUCAGAAAGACACACGUGGAGGCUGUGGCUGGUGUGCUGUACAGAGCCACAGGGUGUCUAACCGGUCACUCUCAGAGGGCUUCCUGGAAGCAGUGGCUGUGAUGUGAGCUGGGAAAUGGAGAGACUUCCCAAGCCUCUGGAGUGAUGAGUGGAAACAGGCUCAGUGCCAUGGACAGAAGAGAAUAUUCUAGACCUAGGAAAAGCUGUGGGAAGGCAUGAAGAAGCGAACCAGCACACCUCCCUGGGCCCCGGAUUCCUCAUCUGUACAGUGUGCAGCUCGGACAGAAGGUCUGCAAGGUACCUCCCACCUCUCGAGAUGGCAUGAAUUCUUGGAGGACGGGAAGAGGCUCCGAGAACCAUUCAGAGGAAAUGGCAUGAGGAGCUCCUGGCACGGGCUUCGGUUGGCCAACGGCACAUUACUCCACGCUCAGC